rnacentral:ncRNA from 1 species
ACAUAGCAAGGAUUGACAGACUGACACCAAUUUGUCUAGUCAAUUCCAUUAACGAACGAGACCUCAGCCUGCUAACUAGCUAUACGGAGCCAUCCCUCCGCAGCUAGCUUCUUAGGGGGACUAUCGCCGUUUAUGCGACAGAAGUUUGAGGCAAUAACAGGU